rnacentral:rRNA from 1 species
AUUGAACGCUGGCGGCAGGCCUAACACAUGCAAGUCGAACGAGUGGCGGACGGGUGAGUAAUGUCUGGGAAACUGCCUGAUGGAGGGGGAUAACUACUGGAAACGGUAGCUAAUACCGCAUACCAUCGGAUGUGCCCAGAUGGGAUUAGCUAGUAGGUGGGGGAACGGCUCACCUAGGCGACGAUACCUAGCUGGUCUGAGGGGAUGACCAGACACACUGGAACUGAGACACGGUACAGACGCCUACGGGAGGGAGCAGUGGGGAAUAUUGCACAAUGGGCGCAAGCCUGAUGCAGCCAUGCCGAGUGUAUGAAGAAGGCCUUGGGGUUGUAAAGUACUUUCAGCGGGGAGGCGUUACCCGCAGAAGAAGCACCGGCUAACUCCGUGCCAGCAGCCGCGGUAUUC